rnacentral:tRNA from 1 species
CAAAUUAAAGCUUAUUUUAAGUUUUUUAGUUACAUUAAAAAGAAAAUUGUUUAAAUCAAUUUAAUUUGA